UACGUGGAAGGCAAGCGUUAUUCAUUAAACUGGGUUUAAAGGGUGAGUAGGCGGUAAUUAUAGCCAUAAAGUAUACGAAAAGUAUAUGGGUACAUAGUUACUAGAGUUAUAUAUGAGAAAAUGGAACGUUGGGAGUAAAGUUUAUAUUUGUCAAUCCUCGAAUGACCGGUAAAUGGCGAAAGCAAUUUUUAUGUAGUAACUGACGCUGAGGAACGAAGGCUAGGGUCGCGAAUAGG
rnacentral:rRNA from 1 species